rnacentral:rRNA from 1 species
UACGAAGGGGGCUAGCGUUGCUCGGAAUUACUGGGCGUAAAGCGCACGUAGGCGGAUUGUUAAGUCGGGGGUGAAAUCCUGGAGCUCAACUCCAGAACUGCCUUCGAUACUGGCGAUCUCGAGUCCGGGAGAGGUGAGUGGAAUUCCGAGUGUAGAGGUGAAAUUCGUAGAUAUUCGGAGGAACACCAGUGGCGAAGGCGGCUCACUGGCUCGGUACUGACGCUGAGGUGCGAAAGCGUGGGGAGCAAACAGG